CGCGUGUACUGGUCCGGCCGGGCCUUUCCCUCUGUGGAACCCCAUGCCCUUCACUGGGCGUGGCGGGGAAACAGGACUUUUACUGUGAAAAAAUUAGAGUGCUCCAGGCAGGCCUAUGCUCGAAUACAUUAGCAUGGAAUAAUAGAAUAGGACGUGUGGUUCUAUUUUGUUGGUUUCUAGGACCGCCGUAAUGAUUAAUAGGGACAGUCGGGGGCAUCAGUAUUCAAUUGUCAGAGGUGAAAUUCUUGGAUUUAUUGAAGACUAACUACUGCGAAAGCAUUUGCCAAGGAUGUUUUCAUUAAUCAGGAACGAAAGUUAGGGGAUCGAAGACGAUCAGAUACCGUCGUAGUCUUAACCAUAAACUAUGCCGACUAGGGGUCGGACGAUGUUAUUUUUUGACUCGUUCGGCACCUUACGAGAAAUCAAAGUGCUUGGGCUCCAGGGGGAGUAUGGUCGCAAGGCUGAAACUUAAAGAAAUUGACGGAAGGGCACCACCAGGGGUGGAGCCUGCGGCUUAAUUUGACUCAACACGGGGAAACUCACCAGGUCCAGACACAAUGAGGAUUGACAGAUUGAGAGCUCUUUCUUGAUUUUGUGGGUGGUGGUGCAUGGCCGUUCUUAGUUGGUGGAGUGAUUUGUCUGCUUAAUUGCGAUAACGAACGAGACCUUAACCUGCUAAAUAGCCCGUAUUGCUUUGGCAGUACGCUGGCUUCUUAGAGGGACUAUCGG
rnacentral:rRNA from 1 species